UUAAAAAUAUUUGUUUUCGUGGGCGGGUAUGGAACAUACUCUUUUAGUCAUCAUACUUUGCAAACUGGGAUGUCCAUGGACCAUGGUAGAAACAAUUUAUACCCGCCCUGGAGCGGGUCGUCCCGUGUAAGUUUCACAUGAUUGAUAACUUGAUAUAAUGGUUUGAAUGGUAACACAACACAGCUUUGACAGUUACCAAUCAUAAAAACUUUAUCAAAAGCGUUACAAAAAGUUUUACUCUCAGCAUUUUUAUUUAGCUUUUUUAUAUAGCUCUUUCUAACAGUUUUGCACUAUUCCGAUAAAGCUAACAGGUCCAGCUAACAACUAAAAAUCUUGUACAGUUUUUGGUUACCAAUCAGACCCAAGUAAAUAUUUAUAUUUAUUAUAAUGACCACUCUAAAAAAAAA
rnacentral:sRNA from 1 species